rnacentral:rRNA from 1 species
GGAUAAUCUACCCUUAGGACCGGGAUAACCUUGGGAAACUGAGGAUAAUACUGGAUAGGCAAUUAUUCCUGUAAUGGUUUUUUGUUUAAAUGUUUUUUCGCCUAAGGACGAGUCUGCGGCCGAUUAGGUAGUUGGUUAGGUAAUGGCUUACCAAGCCGUUGAUCGGUACGGGUUGUGAGAGCAAGAGCCCGGAGAUGGAACCUGAGACAAGGUUCCAGGCCCUACGAGGUGCAGCAGGCGCGAAACCUCCGCAAUGUGAGAAAUCGCGACGGGGGGAUCCCAAGUGCCAUUCUUAACGGGAUGGCUUUUCAUUAGUGUAAAGAGCUUUUGGAAUAAGAGCUGGGCAAGACCGGUGCCAGCCGCCGCGGUAACACCGGCAGCUCUAGUGGUAACAAUUUUUAUUGGGCCUAAAGCGUCCGUAGCCGGUUUAAUAAGUCUCUGGUGAAAUCCUGUAGCUUAACUGUGGGAAUUGCUGGAGAUACUAUUAGACUUGAGACCGGGAGAGGUUAGAGGUACUCCCAGGGUAGAGGUGAAAUUCUGUAAUCCUGGGAGGACCGCCUGUUGCGAAGGCGUCUAACUGGAACGGUUCUGACGGUGAGGGACGAAAGUUAGGGGCGCGAACCGGAUUAGAUACCCGGGUAGUCCUAACUGUAAACGAUGCGGACUUGGUGUUGGGGUGGCUUUGAGCUGCUCCAGUGCCGAAGGGAAGCUGUUAAGUCCGCCGCCUGGGAAGUACGGUCGCAA